rnacentral:rRNA from 1 species
UAGGGAAUCUUCCGCAAUGGACGCAAGUCUGACGGAGCAACGCCGCGUGAGUGAAGAAGGAUUUCGGUUCGUAAAACUCUGUUGUUAGAGAAGAACAGCGCAUAGAGUAACUGUUAUGCGUGUGACGGUAUCUAACCAGAAAGCCACGGCUAACUACGUGCCAGCAGCCGCGGUAAUACGUAGGUGGCAAGCGUUGUCCGGAUUUAUUGGGCGUAAAGCGCGCGCAGGCGGUCAAUUAAGUCUGAUGUGAAAGCCCCCGGCUCAACCGGGGAGGGUCAUUGGAAACUGGUUGACUUGAGUGCAGAAGAGGAGAGUGGAAUUCCAUGUGUAGCGGUGAAAUGCGUAGAUAUAUGGAGGAACACCAGUGGCGAAGGCGACUCUCUGGUCUGUAACUGACGCUGAGGCUCGAAAGCGUGGGUAGCAAACAGG